rnacentral:rRNA from 1 species
CCUACGGGAGGCAGCAGUGAGGAAUAUUGGUCAAUGGGCGCGAGCCUGAACCAGCCAAGCCGCGUGAAGGAUGACUGUCCUACGGGUUGUAAACUUCUUUUAUAAGGGAAUAAAGUGAGGGAUGUGUGCCUUUUUGUAUGUACUUUAUGAAUAAGGAUCGGCUAACUCCGUGCCAGCAGCCGCGGUAAUACGGAGGAUACGAGCGUUAUCCGGAUUUAUUGGGGUUAAAGGGAGCGGAGUUGGGUUGUUAAGUCAAGUGUGAAAGUUUGCGGCUCAACCGUAAAAUUGCAAUUGAUACUGGCAGCCUUGAGUGCGGGUGAGGUAGGCGGAAUUCGUGGUGGAGCGGUGAAAUGCUUAGAUAUCACGAAGAACUCCGAUUGCGAAGGCAGCCUACUGGACUGCCACUGACGUUGAUGCUCGAAAGUGUGGGUAUCAAACAGGAUUAGAUACCCGGGUAGUC